UACGAAGGGGGCUAGCGUUGUUCGGAAUUACUGGGCGUAAAGAGCGCGCAGGCGGUCGUUCAAGUCGCGUGUGAAAGCCCCCGGCUCAACUGGGGAGGGUCACGCGAUACUGAUCGACUCGAAGGCAGGAGAGGGAAGUGGAAUUCCCGGUGUAGUGGUGAAAUGCGUAGAUAUCGGGAGGAACACCAGUGGCGAAGGCGACUCCUGGCCUGUUCUUGACGCUGAGGCGCGAAAGCUAGGGGAGCAAACGGGG
rnacentral:rRNA from 1 species